rnacentral:lncRNA from 1 species
AAGAUAUUGAAAUGAGUGUGAAAAACUGAGGAGGAAGGAAACUAACUUAACAGAGGGAAAUGAGCAUUGACUAUUAGGCACCUGGAUGAAGACUGGGUCCAGAUUGUCAGUCUCCUGUAACCUGCAGAAGCCCUCCAGUUGCACUAGGAACAUUCAAUUGAAGUAAGACCUAAUUAUUUUAAUUAGAUUGUAGGACUUUCAUUCUUGAAUCAACUUUUAAUAAGGUGACUUCAUGUAUUUCUAUAGUGUGCCAAUAGCUGCUAAUUUUGAAAAAAGAAGACUGCAAGCAUUAUUCUGUGGCAAAAUUUUAUGUAUUCCAAUUUUUAUUUAUCUUUUAUUUCAUGGGUUUAAGCCCAUUUUCUUUGGGUAGCAUUAUAUAAAUAUUUUAAUUUCUG